UACGAAGGGGGCUAGCGUUGCUCGGAAUCACUGGGCGUAAAGCGCACGUAGGCGGAUUGUUAAGUCGGGGGUGAAAUCCUGGAGCUCAACUCCAGAACUGCCUUCGAUACUGGCGAUCUUGAGUCCGGGAGAGGUGAGUGGAACUCCGAGUGUAGAGGUGAAAUUCGUAGAUAUUCGCAAGAACACCAGUGGCGAAGGCGGCUCACUGGCCCGAUACUGACGCUGAGGCACGAAAGCGUGGGGAGCAAACAGGG
rnacentral:rRNA from 1 species